CAGCAGCCGCGGUAAUACGUAGGGUGCGAGCGUUAAUCGGAAUUACUGGGCGUAAAGCGUGCGCAGGCGGUUAUAUAAGACAGAUGUGAAAUCCCCGGGCUCAACCUGGGACCUGCAUUUGUGACUGUAUAGCUAGAGUACGGUAGAGGGGGAUGGAAUUCCGCGUGUAGCAGUGAAAUGCGUAGAUAUGCGGAGGAACACCGAUGGCGAAGGCAAUCCCCUGGACCUGUACUGACGCUCAUGCACGAAAGCGUGGGGAGCAAACAGGAUUAGAUACCCGCGUAGUCCCUGUCUCUUAUAU
rnacentral:rRNA from 1 species